rnacentral:lncRNA from 1 species
GCAACCUCUGAAAAAACCUUAAACUAUAAAUUACAAAAUUGCUAGUUCUUAAAAAACAAGUUCUGCCACAGAAAAUAAAACCGACUUUUCCCAAGAUUUUAAAGUCAAAAUUUCGAAAACACAAAAAAUCUCACAACAAUCAACAUUGUUGCAUUUCAAAGCUUUUCCGAGACGGUAGGCCAAAACCACAGACAGUUUGAAUCAAUUUUAUAGCAGUAUCAAUCAACUUUUCAGAUAAUCAAAGUUUUGUACAACCAAAAUUAACUUCUGGACGUUGAUAUGCAAUAACUGCACCAUCAAGUGGCCCAUGCGACACCAAGCCAAAGCCUGUUACGCGCGGAACCCAGCAGAACGCAGCCCUCCUCCCGCCCAACCGACCGAGGGGCGCUGCCGCAUGACGCGCGGCGCGAUGAACCGAACCGGUCGCGAGCAUGCAGGAAAGAUAGAUGUUAGGCUAAUAUUCGAGGAAAAUUAGAGCUAAUCAUAACUAGACUAAGCUAAGCUACAGCUAAGCAAGCAAAAAUUACCAAAAUCAGAAACAAGACAAAACUAAAAUGAAACUAACUACGGGAGAGGUAGGCUAGUAUAAGAGAUUUAAGAAGAGGAAGGGAGUUAGUUGAGGAUAUNUUCUGGACGUUGAUAUGCAAUGACUGCACCAUCAAGUGGCCCAUGCGACACCAAGCCAAAGCCUGUUACGCGCGGAACCUAGCAGAACGCAGCCCUCCUCCCGCCCAACCGACCGAGGGGCGCUGCCGCAUGACGCGCGGCGCGAUUAACCGAACCGGUCGCGAGCAUGCAGGAAAGAUAGAUGUUAGGCUAAUAUUCGAGGAAAAUUAGAGCUAAACAUAACUAGACUAGAGCUACUAUAGCUAAGCAAGCAAAAAUUACCAAAAUCAGAAACAAGACAAAACUAAAAUGAAACUAACUACGGGAGAGGUAGGCUAGUAUAAGAGAUUUAAGAAGAGGAAGGGAGUUAGUUGAGGAUAUAAUGUGGUAGAGGGAAUUAUAAUCCGAG